GUUUGAUCCUGGCGUCAGAAUGAACGCUGGCGGCGUGCUUAACACAUGCAAGUUCGAACGCGAAAGGUGCUUUCGGGUGCCGAGUAGAGUGGCGCACGGGUGAGUAACGCGUGGGUAAUCUACCCAUGGAUCGUGGAUAACACAUCGAAAGGUGUGCUAAUACAUGAUGAAGUCUUUCCGGAUGAGUCUGGAGAGAUGAAAGUUCGCGCAAGCGGAUGUCCGUGGAUGAGCCUGCGUACCAUUAGCUAGUUGGUGGGGUAAAGGCCUACCAAGGCAGAGAUGGUUAGCUGGUCUGAGAGGAUGAUCAGCCACACUGGAACUGGAACACGGUCCAGACUCCUACGGGAGGCAGCAGUGAGGAAUUUUUGCGCAAUGGGGGGCAACCCUGACGCAGCAACGCCGCGUGAGUGAUGAAGGCUUUCGGGUCGUAAAGCUCUGUCGGCGGGAGAAAUAGGUGCUGGUUAUAGCCAGUAUUUUG
rnacentral:rRNA from 1 species